rnacentral:lncRNA from 1 species
AUAUCCUUAGAGACGCCAUAGAGUGAGGAUAUAAUGGCUCUGUAACAAGCAUAAACUGUGAUGGUCUGGGAUGCCCUCGUCAUAGACAGCCCCUGGAGAGUCAUAGAGUCUCACUCUGUCGCCCAGGCUGGAGUGCAUUGGCACGAUCUCAGCUCACUGCAACGUCCGCCUCCCGGGUUCAAGAAGGUCCACAGAAAACAUCCUGGGGUCCUGAGCUGAAGUGUGAUGGGAGGAGUCCUCUGUAUCUCAGUCUGAUCCUGGUCUCCCUCUCGGCCAUGGUCUCACACUAGUGCUGCUGGGAAACCAUCCCUCACAUCCAGUCCUGGCAUCGGGCAGUGACUCUGGUCCAACUGUUGUCCAACUCAAGGGUUUAGCUGCUUAGAUUUUCCUAAAACUUGAAUUUCAUUUUCCUCUAGCCAUGGAAUACAGAUUAAUCCUUUACAAUUAAAAUCCAAGUUCAGAUUUUAUUUGUUGUGGUUUUUAAUUAAAAUCUCACCAGCA